rnacentral:rRNA from 1 species
GAUGAACGCUGGCGGCGUGCCUAAUACAUGCAAGUCGAACGGGGAGUAGCAAUACUCUUAGUGGCGAACGGGUGAGUAACGCGUUGGUACCUGCCCCGAAGCGGUGGCUAACGGACCGAAAGGUCCGCUAAUACCCCAUGUGCUCGGUAACGAGUAAAGGUGAAAACCACUUUGGGAGGGGCAUGCGUCCCAUCAGCUAGUUGGUAAGGUAACGGCUUACCAAGGCGAUGACGGGUAGGGGACCUGAGAGGGUGGCCCCCCACAAUGGAACUGAAACACGGUCCAGACACCUACGGGAGGCAGCAGUAGGGAAUAUUGGUAAUGGGCGCAAGCCUGAACCAGCAACGCCGCGUGUGCGAUGACGGCCUUCGGGUUGUAAAGCACUUUUGACUGGGACGAGGAAGGACGGUACCGGUCGAAUCAGCCUCGGCUAACUACGUG